UUUUCUUAUAAAAUGUUGAGGUUCUAGAGGUAUAAAACCCAUUAGACUAGACAGAAUAAUUGUGCUCCCAUUCGUACAGACUCAUUGCAGAGUAGAAAAUCAAAUCCUUGGGAAUUAGAUGAAGUAUAUCAUAGCAUUCUUAAUUAUUUGGGAUCUAACCAGAAUCAUUAAAAUGGUAAAAACAAAAUUAGCCAAAAUCCCACUAACUUGGAGCUCUCAGAGUACAGAUUAUACUUAUGUCUAAACUCCCCAGAAAGCUUAUAUACACGAAAGUUUGCACAUUAAGAAAAAGCAUGGGCCCUGAAUUCAGAUGGACUUGAAUGCAAAGCCUGGCUUUAUCACUUGAUAUAAAAAAGCAAAGGCCCUAAACUCUGUGAGCAUUGGUUUCAUCAUAUUUAGAAUUGAUUAACCAGAGGCUUAUUUUCCAAGUUAUUGUAAAGACCUGAUCUGUAAAGCAUAUAACACAAUGCAGGCAUGUAAGAGGCACCCAGUAAAUGGGAGCUAUUGGAAUAGUAGUAACUAUUACCACAUUGUAAUAUAUAAUCAAUAUAUAUUGGUUAAAUUAAACUAAAAUUAACAUAAUAAAUCUUUCCUGCCCUCCAGGAGGAUAUAAUCUAAUUGGGGAAAGCCACAUGCUAAUGUAAUUAACCAUUCUAAGUAAAAUGUAACAUGAAUGAAUGGAAUCAGCUGUAAGUUCCGAGGUUAUGUGAAGAGAAAGACUGACUUCCUCCCAGGGUGGAGAAGACGUCCCCUGAAAAAAACACAGGACCUCUGCAAAGUCUCCUGCAACAGGGAACCACCACAGAAAUAGGCCUGCUCUGAACAAUAAAGGGUCAUUCUCAUUUGUUUUCAUUUUUGUUUUCAAAUUAGGCAUGUUUCAAAUGAGUCAUUAAUCAUGUACUUACUUCACUAAUUACUCAUUUCUUUUCUAGCUAAUUUUUUAUUGAAAGGCAUCCUAAAACAGGGAGAAAAGAUAUUGUCUUGAAAAAGAGAAUAAAAGUCUGCUCAGAAUCACAUCUCAGUUUUUUCUCUAAGACCAAGUGUCAGAAUCUGAUGUGAUAGUCUAUAUGAUCUUAAAGGUGUCCUUUUGCUCUUGGGACCUCUGUGAUGUCAGCUCCAACAUGGAAAAUACAGGAAACAGCUAGGAAAGACUGCAGUGAUGAGUCCCAUUUUCAACAGAUUCCAAGUGCACACAUACGGUCAGUCUAAAUAGCUUUCUCCUUGACACAAACAGAGAAAACCUUGUUAGUGCUCAACCUCCUGCACUAUUCAUUCCCCUACAUGCAUGAUCCUGUUUGGAGUUGGGAAUGUAGGGAAUCUGGCCUUUCUAAUUACCUGGGUACUGUCACACAGAUCAAUGUCAGAGUAUAUACCAUAAGACUAUUGACUAUUGAAGAACAAUUCAUGGUAAGUAAAGUAAUUUUAAGAAAGCUGGGAAAAUGAAUUAUUGAAAAUUUCAAAGUGUGAUAACACAACUAACUCCAAAACAGGAAGUGAAAACAAGAUUAAAAUAAAAAUUGAUGGUGAAAUGUUAUUUUGGACUAGUUAUGUGUGGGUUACCAAGAGUGAUUUAAGAUAUUUUCUUUCCUCUUUCUCCAUCUCUCUCAAAAGGAGAAAGGAGAAAGAAAACAUCUUAAACCACCAGGUCUGGGCUUUCCAGAUAUAAUUCCAGAAAGAAAGAGAGAGAGAGAGUUUGGGUACAUAGAAUGGUACCCCAAAGUAUGGUAUGAUGCUUUGGCAUACUGAGCACUUUUGAAUUAAAAUAAAUUGAAAAGCCUUAGAAACUGCCUCAGAACCAGGGACUUUCUAAGCUUCUCUUAUUUCUACCAUGUCCCCAACAAGUGUAGAAAGGUAUUCACUCUGG
rnacentral:lncRNA from 1 species